rnacentral:lncRNA from 13 species
AUGAAUAUCCCUUUUUUCUCUAUUAAAAGUAUGAACUUGAAGGAGAAAGCCAAAGUAGGGCCAAGAAAUAGUUUAGCAACGAUCCUGCUGACGAAAUCCAUUAAUGACAAGCAUAGAAAUGGUAAUUUCACAAAUACAGAAGGAAAGAGAGUUCAUGCAGGAGCUUGUUGUUUAAAGGAGCCCAUCACCUUCUCUCUCUCUUGCUCCCUGUCUUGUCAUGUGACAUGCUUGCUUCCUGCUUUGCUAUCCACCAUUAGUAAGAUUCCUGAGACUCAAGAGAAGCUGAGAAGAUGCUCGUGCCAUAUUUGUACAGCCCGAAAAACUAUAUGGAGCCAUUCAGCAAGAUCAGGUUCUACUGUUGAGGAUGCUUCACAACAUGCUGAAGUUACUGCUGGAAUCUACACAACCAAGAGAAAAUGCUGCAGUAGGAGGGUCUUCCACUGUGGCAUCACCCAAAGGGGAUUGAAAAAGAGAAAUGUAAAAGUACAAAGCCAAUUAUGUAAGCAAGAGUGACAGGAAAACCAGGUAUGUGAAUUAGUACUUGUUAUACAUUUGAUUAUUUUAAACUAGGUGUGGUGUCUAUUUAUUCUUUGCAGAUGAGUGGCUUGAUUAGCUCCUAAUAAGUCUUUUGCCUGUAAUGUCCUCUAUUGAGAUACUAAUGUCUGCUUACCUUCUUUUUCAGUGUUUUGAAGAGUAAGCCCAAUGACAGAUAUAUUAAUGUUUAAACUCAUAUGCAUAAAUGUAAUCUCUUAAAAAUGUUUCUAAUUCCUAUUAUACACCCUGAGUUUAGUAAUGCACUAUUGGCUAUAGCUCAAUAACAAAA